rnacentral:misc_RNA from 1 species
AGCCCAACAAGACCCAAAGAAUUGACCCAACAAUGAAGCCCCUUAGUCCUACCACCGCACUCAACGACUUGGCGAAAUGAUCAACCCGCAGCACAAGCACCUCGUCCACCAACCACCGCAAAGGGAAAAGGAAAAAUAGAAAUGUAUCACGGAUUGAUUAGGGGAAAAAACUACAUAGCAGUCUAUCACGUACGCAUGCCAAUGGUGUUGUGGCCGUUUGUGGCAUUAGUCAUUUCACAGACCUAG